UCCUUCCCCAUUUCUUCUCUUCACACUCUGCACUGUAGCAGCACCGAGGUCACUGAGUUCCUCCAACAAAUCAUGCCUUCCCUUGCACAUGUCAUAUCUGCCCUGAAAAUUACUCCCUCACUUUUUGCUUGGCCCUGGGUUAUCUAUACUUCAGGACUCAGUCUGUUACUUCCUUUAAGAAUAUUUUCUGGUUUCUUAGCCUGGCCAGGGCACCUCCUUUGUGCUCCCAUCGUAUCCAAUACUGCUUUGUUUAAUUGUCUAUCUUCCCCCUGCAGGCUAUACGGACCAUGAAGGCACAAGGAUGCAUAAAUCCAUGUGGUUUUAAAGAAGGGUAUCUUUGAAGAAGGGAAGAUAGAGGGAGAAUGAUAAAGCAAAUGCAGCACACCAUGCUAAUACUGGAGGAGUGAAGAUCAGCCUCCUCCCAAUGGAUAUAUGGGUAACUGAAGAAGGAAUGGGUCACAGACAUGGUCACCAUCAAAGACAAAAGAAAAUGAUAGCUUGGUUGAAGACAUGAAUAUAAACAUCCAAGAAGUGCACUGAACUGCAAGAAGGAUUAAAUCAAAGAGACCCACACUGAGACAUAUUAUAAACUGGCCACUGAAAGCCAAAGAUAAAGAGAUAAUCUUGAAUGCAGGAAGAGAGAAGUGACUUGUCAUUUAUAGGAGAUCCUCAGUAACAGUACCAGCAGAUUUCUCAUCUGUAACUUUGGAGGCCAGAAGGCAGUGGGCUGAUAUAUUAAAAAUGCUAAAAGAAAAAAAAAAAAAAACCUGUUGGCCUAGAAUUCUAUAACCAGCAAAACUGUCCUUUCAAGAGUGAGAAUGAAAGUAAGACAUUCAUAGAUAAACAAGACCUGAGGGAGUUUGUCACUGCUAGACCCACCCUGUGAGAAAUCCUAAAAGGAGUCCUGCAGGUUGAAAUAAAAAGAUACCAGACAGUAACUCAAAGCCAUAUGAAGAGAAACAUCUCAGUAAAAGUAAAUAUAUGGACAAUGAUAAAAGCUAGUGUUAUAGUAAUAGUGGUUUAAAACUCCAAUUUUGUUCUCCACAUGACUUAAGAGAUUGGUAUAUUGCUUUAAAAAUUAUUAUUACCCUAAAACCUAAUAUUAUUGGAACUUUCACUCUAAUUCUAUAAUUAAGCUUCUAUGUAACUUAAGAGACUAAAACAUUUUAAAAAGCAAUUAUUAAUUCAUGCUUUUGGAU